CAGGCCUAACACAUGCAAGUCGAACGAGCCUUUCGGCCGCUAUGGCGUACGGGUGAGUAACGCGUGGGAACGUGCCCAAAGGUGGGGAACAACCGAGGGAAACUUCGGCUAAUACCCCAUGUGCCCUAACGGGGAAAGAUUUAUCGCCUUUGGAGCGGCCCGCGUCUGAUUAGCUAGUUGGUGAGGUUAUGGCUCACCAAGGCGACGAUCAGUAGCUGGUCUGAGAGGAUGAUCAGCCACACUGGGACUGAGACACGGCCCAGACUCCUACGGGAGGCAGCAGUGGGGAAUAUUGGACAAUGGGCGCAAGCCUGAUCCAGCCAUGCCGCGUGAGUGAUGAAGGCCUUAGGGUUGUAAAGCUCUUUUACCCGGGAUGAUAAUGACAGUACCGGGAGAAUAAGCUCCGGCUAACUCCGUGCCAGCAGCCGCGGUAAU
rnacentral:rRNA from 1 species